ensembl:lncRNA
GAGAUAUUGAAUUCAUCCCCUUCACAUUUGCUGCAAAGUAUUUGCUUCUCGUUUAAUUGAAAUCCCCGCUUUCUUCUCAUAACUGUGUGGAUGUUGCGUAUUAUCAGCAGGUUUCCUUGGCGGAGGAGAUCAAGCCGUUGAAGUGGUAUCCCUCAGUUUACCUGCUCGUGUCCAUCUUUCCCCUCAUCAACAGGCUCCAUAACGCCUUCUACCCUAAAGCACCGUCCUUCUACCUCACACUUCUGCACGUCCUGUCGGCACCACUCCACGGCUUGGCCAAUGCCUUUGUGUUUGGCCUGAAUAGGGAUUGGUGGAGCCUCCUGAGCCCAACUGGCAUGCAGCUGGCUCUGCAGUCACGGCUCUGUGACAGAACACGGAUUGGAGAGUACUACCCCGGGGCGGUGCGCUACACGCAGGCUGACCUGGCCGACCUCAGCGAUGACGAUGACACCAAUGUGCUCUUCUACUCUCCUGACAUGACCCUGAAAGACCGAGGGCCCUGAGAGAGCGGGAGGGAGGGAGAGCGAGGGAGACAAAAGAGAUGGAGGGAAGGAACACGAAGGAGGGUCAGAGCCAGAGAGAAACGCAGCAGAUUAGAAACUGAGAGGGAGGAAAAAGAGGUAGGGAGGGAAUGGAAGGGAAGAUUGUGGGGGACAGUCAGGCAGAUAGGAGCCGGAGAUGAGCUGUCAGGUUCCAUUAUUAAUCCCCAUCCUUUACUAUUUAAUAUCCUAAAGACACACACACCACACAUACUGAACAGAGCUCCAGCUCAGCGCAUUACUACAAGAGAAGGGGAAGGACUAGGGCGCUGUAAAGAUCCUCUCGAUGUUAAACGCAUCUGCUUCUUCCCAAAAAGGUCUUGAAACGAUUUCCCUCUCUGCAUCGUAUUCUGUACGUCUGCAGCAUUUCGGCAUGCCACAACAAUAAAAUGGAGAAAAAAAGAACCCAUAAGGACCGCUGAAAGGCAAUCAUAACAAGGUGUUCCUUUAGCAUUCUCUUUUCACGUCUCUGCAGGAGAUUAGUUGAAAAGGAGGCCUUUAAGAUGUAUCCCGUGUGUCUGACGUGAAAGCAUCUGCAUCUACCCUGAGAUUGAUCCUGCUACUGAACAAUUUUCUUGCCAACAGGGGGGUUGUGGGUGCGGAGUUGAACUACAGAAGUGGGAGGGGUUAUAAACAGUCAAGAUGCCUCAACAGGGCAACUAAAUCCCAAAGCACCCAUGUCACCUUCCUCACAGUAUUUGUUUUCUGCCUGUUUUUUGUUCCUGUUGAUGCAACUGCUGCACAUGUAUUCACUUCUGGAAGGUUAUUUUGUAUUUUUUUUUUUUAAUGAAAAAUACUACACUUGUUUGUUAUACAAUAUUUCUAACAGAUCAAUGUAUUGUACAUAUUUAACUGUACACUCUAUUUUUGUACUUUGCCUUGGACCAGAUGAGAUGAAACUUUUUUCUUGGUCCAGAUCUGCUGCUCGGCGGUGUCCGUCAAGCAGAACCGAAUUCAACACACACAGCCUUAUGAACAACUACAGAGAGAUGCUUUUGGUCAAAUAAAUCCCCUGGUAGACACACACACGGAUACUUUUUUAUUUUUUUAUUUUUAUUUGUUUCUUUAAGGUGCCUCUGCCAGCCUGUUUUGAAGUAAGGAACAGUGUCGCUGAUUGUCAGGCUAAUAGCGUGAACCACCUGCUAUGCUCUGCCACAGCCCAUUUGGUUUUUUCUGGUUUCAAGCCUUCGUUACGGUCGGAUCUCUCCCAGCCGUCAGCUCCGUCUUUGCCAAACUGAACUACGAAAACCAACUCUUGACCUUUUUGUUUUAAAUCUUUUCUGCCGAGUGUCAGCCACACCUGGGUGAAACUUUGGUUUGCAGUUCACAAUCACACCACCGUAUCACCCACACUGCCCCCCCCCCACCCCGGCACUGUUGCUGGUUUGAUUCGGCUGCGCACUCCAUCAAAUAAAUGAGCAGGAGAGACAUUUCAUAACAAAGCUGAGACUAGGCCUGUUUAUUUCAUUUUCACAUUGAUGCCAUUCCUCAUUCCCACUUGCCUGCC